rnacentral:rRNA from 1 species
AUUGAACGCUGGCGGGAGGCCUAACACAUGCAAGUCGAGCGGAGCGGCGGACGGGUGAGUAAUGCCUAGGACUCUGCCUGGUAGUGGGGGAUAACGUCCGGAAACGGGCGCUAAUCCCGCAUACUAUCAGAUGAGCCUAGGUCGGAUUAGCUAGUUGUUGGGGUAAAGGCAUACAAAGGCGACGAUCCGUAACUGGUCUGAGAGGAUGAUCAGUCACACUGGAACUGAGACACGGUCCAGACUCCUACGGGAGGCAGCAGUGGGGAAUAUUGGACAAUGGGCGAAAGCCUGAUCCAGCCAUGCCGCGUGUGUGAAGAAGGUCUUCGGAUUGUAAAGCACUUUAAGUUGGGAGGCGUUACCAACAGAAUAAGCACCGGCUAACUUCGUGCCAGCCGCCGCGGUAAUUC